rnacentral:rRNA from 1 species
GAAGCUGUGAAUGGCUCAUUACAACAGCCAUAGUUUAUUGGAUCUAAAUGUCCUACUUGGAUAACUGUGGUAAUUCUAGAGCUAAUACACGCAAUUAAUCCGCAACCUUACGGGAGCGGAGCAUUUAUUAGAACAAAACCAAUCGGCUUCGGCCGCUUUUGGUGAGUCUGAAUAACUACGCUGAUCGCAUGGUCUCGUACCGGCGACGUAUCCUUCAAGUGUCUGCCUUAUCAACUGUCGAUGGUAGUUUACAUGACUACCAUGGUUGUAACGGGUAACGGAGAAUAAGGGUUCGACUCCGGAGAGGGAGCCUGAGAAACGGCUACCACAUCCAAGGAAGGCAGCAGGCGCGCAAAUUACCCACUCUCAGAUCGAGGAGGUAGUGACGAAAAAUAACGAGACAGUUCUCUUUGAGGUCUGUCAUCGGAAUGGGUACAAUUUAAACCCUUUAACGAGGAUCUAUUAGAGGGCGAGUCUGGUGCCAGCAGCCGCGGUAAUUCCAGCUCUAAUAGCGUACACAAAUGUUGCUGCGGUUAAAAAGCUCGUAGUUGGAUCUUCGAUCGUAGACACUGGUUUCCUUCGUGGAAUACUUGUUGUUUCGAUCUACCUUGUUAGAUUUCUCUUGGUGCUCUUAACCGAGUGCCUCGAGUGUCUAGCUCGUUUACUUUGAAAAAAUUAGAGUGCUCAAAGCAAGCUUGAUUGCUUGAAUAUUCGUGCAUGGAAUAAUAGAAUAGGAAGUCGUUUCUAUUUUGUUGGUUUUCGGAAAUCGACUUAAUGCUUAAUAGGGAUAGUCGGGGGCAUUUGUAUUCAAACGACAGAGGUGAAAUUCUUGGACCGUUUGAAGACAAACUACUGCGAAAGCAUUUGCCAAGAAUGUUUUCAUUAGUCAAGAACGAAAGUUAGAGGUUCGAAGGCGAUUAGAUACCGCCCUAGUUCUAACCAUAAACGAUGCCAGCUAGCGAUCUGCCGGUGUUUGAUUUUCUGACUCGGCAGGCAGCUUCCGGGAAACCAAAGCUUGUGGGUUCCAGGGGAAGUAUGGUUGCAAAGCUGAAACUUAAAGGAAUUGACGGAAGGGCACCACCAGGAGUGGAGCCUGUGGCUUAAUUUGACUCAACACGGGAAAUCUCACCAGGCCCGGACACCAGAAGGAUUGACAGAUUGAUAGCUCUUUCUUGAUUUGGUGGGUGGUGGUGCAUGGCCGUUCUUAGUUGGUGGAGUGAUUUGUCUGGUUAAUUCCGAUAACGAACGAGACUCCGUCCUGUUAAAUAGAUCCAACCUAGUCGUAGGGUUGGAAUUUCUUUAGAGGGACUGGUGAUUAUUAGUCACACGAGAUUGAGCAAUAACAGGUCCUGUGAUGCCCUUAGAUGUUAUGGGCCGCACACGCGCUACAUUGAAGUGAUCAGCUAGUUUUUCCCUAUCCGAGAGGAGCGGGUAAACCGUUGAACCCACUUCGUGGUAGGGAUCGGAGCUUGCAAUUAUUCUCCGUGAACCAGGAAUUCCCAGUAGGUGCAAGUCAUAAGCUUGCAUCGAUUACGUCCCUGCCCUUUGUACACACCGCCCGUCGCUACUACCGAUUGAGUGUUUUAGUGAGGACCUCGGAUUGCUUGGCUGGGCGGUUCGCGCUGCCUAGCUGGCGAAAAGACGUCCAAACUGUAGCACUUAGAGGAAGUAAAAGUCGUAACAAGGUAGCC